GCUCAAGCUCACAACAGCUCGCGGUCCCCAUGACGUUUGGUCCAGGCUGAGUAAUGUCUGGGAAACUGCCUGAUGGAGGGGGAUAACUACUGGAAACGGUAGCUAAUACCGCAUAACGUCUUCGGACCAAAGUGGGGGACCUUCGGGCCUCACACCAUCGGAUGUGCCCAGAUGGGAUUAGCUAGUAGGUGGGGUAAUGGCUCACCUAGGCGACGAUCCCUAGCUGGUCUGAGAGGAUGACCAGCCACACUGGAACUGAGACACGGUCCAGACUCCUACGGGAGGCAGCAGUGGGGAAUAUUGCACAAUGGGCGCAAGCCUGAUGCAGCCAUGCCGCGUGUAUGAAGAAGGCCUUCGGGUUGUAAAGUACUUUCAGCGGGGAGGAAGGCGAUAAGGUUAAUAACCUUGUCGAUUGACGUUACCCGCAGAAGAAGCACCGGCUAACUCCGUGCCAGCAGCCGCGGUAAUACGGAGGGUGCAAGCGUUAAUCGGAAUUACUGGGCGUAAAGCGCACGCAGGCGGUCUGUCAAGUCAGAUGUGAAAUCCCCGGGCUUAACCUGGGAACUGCAUUUGAAACUGGCAGGCUAGAGUCUUGUAGAGGGGGGUAGAAUUCCAGGUGUAGCGGUGAAAUGCGUAGAGAUCUGGAGGAAUACCGGUGGCGAAGGCGGCCCCCUGGACAAAGACUGACGCUCA
rnacentral:rRNA from 2 species